UGGUGAUCAUAUCCAGAGAGAAGCAAAGUGAAUGUGUACCAUUGUGUCUUGAAUCCAGCUUGGCCAUAAGGAAAUGGGGCGAGACUUUGUCAUGUAUGUCGCUGAAGUUCAGCUAUGCAAAAAUGUUCACCUAUCCUUGAUCAACCAGUCCAGGAACCAUCAAAGAAGAAAAUGAGAUUCGACUUAGAAGACCUGUUCUUUAUAAACCCCUGCACAGCCCUAAUGAUCAACACCACUUCCAGUGCUCAUAAAUUACUGCUUCAAUAAUUGUUCUGCAAUUCUGCCUAUUCUCAUUGAAUGCUUCGUAUAAUCCCUUUAUUUACUUUGGGCUACGAUUCAUUUUUA
rnacentral:lncRNA from 10 species